AUACGAAGGGACCUAGCGUAGUUCGGAAUUAUUGGGCGUAAAGGGCUCGCAGGCUGCUUGAACAGUUAGACGUGAAAUCCCCGGGCUCAACCUCGGAACUGCGUUUAAAUACUAGCAAGCUAGAGAAAUAGAGAGGAAAGUGGAACUCCCAGUGUAGAGGUGAAAUUCGUAGAUAUUGGGAAGAACACCAGUGGCGAAAAGCGACUUUCUGGCUAUUUUCUGACGCUGAGGAGCGAAAGCGUGGGGAGCAAACAGGAUUAGAUACCCUGGUAGUCCACGCCGUAAACGAUGACAACUAGCUGUUGGGAGACAAUGUCUUUCAGUGGCGCAGCUAACGCUUUAAGUUGUCCGCCUGGGGAGUACGGCCGCAAGGCUAAAACUCAAAUGAAUUGACGGGGACCCACACAAGCGGUGGAGCAUGUGGUUUAAUUCGAUGCAACGCGAAAAACCUUACCUACUCUUGACAUACUUGGGAGCUCUUGUAGUGAGAGUGUGCCUUUUGGAACCAAGAUACAGGUGC
rnacentral:rRNA from 1 species